CUUCGCUAUAAUUUAAAUUAUGUCUUGUGAAAAUGUCUAGCUUUGACUUGUUCAUACCGUAUUACUAAGAUUCUUGCUAGUAUUUUAAACCCGAACUAACCGUUUAUUCCGUUAUAUUACAGUAUAACCCCCGGUAUUCACCUCUCGUCUCGUGUGUCAUCUCGCUUCUUGCCUCCGGUGCUGCCAGUGUACACUACCUGUUCUGCAUUGUACUUUGUUUAAUUUAAGUUUCGUGAACAUCAGCCUCUACAGUUCUUGACAGACUGCACUGAUGUCCAAGUUUCUUUCGUUUCUAUUUCAAUAAAAAUUAUUAGCUGUUA